rnacentral:rRNA from 1 species
UGGGGAAUAUUGGACAAUGGGCGAAAGCCUGAUCCAGCCAUGCCGCGUGAGUGAUGAAGGCCUUCGGGUUGUAAAGCUCUUUUGGGUGGGACGAUGAUGACGGUACCACCAGAAUAAGAUCCGGCAAACUUCGUGCCAGCAGCCGCGGUAAUACGAAGGGAUCUAGCGUUGUUCGGAUUUACUGGGCGUAAAGGGCGCGUAGGCGGUUAUGUAAGUAAGAUGUGAAAGCCCUGGGCUUAACCCGGGAACUGCAUUUUAAACUGCAUAGCUUGAGUGUUGGAGAGGUAAGUAGAAUUCCCAGUGUAGAGGUGAAAUUCGUAGAUAUUGGGAAGAAUACCAGUGGCGAAGGCGACUUACUGGACAACAACUGACGCUGAGGCGCGAAAGCGUGGGGAGCAAA